rnacentral:rRNA from 1 species
UACAGAGGUCCCAAGCGUUGUUCGGAUUCACUGGGCGUAAAGGGUGCGUAGGCGGCGCAGUAAGUUGGGUGUGAAAUCCCUCGGCUCAACCGAGGAACUGCGCCCAAAACUACUGUGCUUGAGGAAGAUAGAGGUAAGCGGAACUUACGGUGGAGCGGUGAAAUGCGUUGAUAUCGUAAGGAACACCUGUGGCGAAAGCGGCUUACUGGGUCUUUUCUGACGCUGAUGCACGAAAGCCAGGGGAGCAAACGGG